rnacentral:rRNA from 1 species
CUCUCUAAGACGUCAUUUAGAGUACAACCUGCUCAGUGAUACAACUAAACAGCCGCAGUUUAUACUGUGCUAAGGUAGCACAAUAACUAGCUUCAUAAUUGGAAGACAGAAUGAACGGUCAAACAAGAGGAAACUAUCUCAAGCUAAAAAAUAAACUUCACCUAAAAGCAAAAAGGCUUUUAUCCAAUCAUAGGACGACAAGACCCUGACAAACUUAUUCAUUUAAUUGGGGCAAUAAAUUAAUAACACUUUAACAAUCAGCUAAACAAAACUUAUACCACAAAUAAAGUAUAGUUACUGCAGGGAUAACAGCGCAAUGUUUUUUUAAAGCUCUUAUACAAAAAAACGAUUACGACCUCGAUGUUGAAUUAAUCUAACUUG